rnacentral:rRNA from 1 species
UAAGGAAUAUUGCUCAAUGGGAGAAAUCCUGAAGCAGCAACGCCGCGUGGAGGAUGAAGGGUCUUUGACUUGUAAACUCCUGUAAAGAAGGAAAAAAUUCCCAUUAGAUGGGGAAAUGAUGGUACUUCUGAAGUAAGCUCCGGCUAACUACGUGCCAGCAGCCGCGGUAAUACGUAGGGAGCAAGCGUUGUCCGGAUUUACUGGGUGUAAAGGGUGCUCAGGCGGAUUUGUAAGUCAGAGGUGAAAUCUCACAGCUUAACUGUGAAACUGCCUUUGNUACUGCAAGCCUAGAGUAUGGAAGAGAGUGAUGGAAUAUCUGGUGUAGCAGUGAAAUGCGUAGAUAUCAGAUAGAACACCAAUGGCGAAGGCAGUCACUUGGUCCAUUACUGACGCUAAAGCACGAAAGCGUGGGUAGCAAACA